UGACUGCGGGCCCGAGCCGCGUGGAUUUGGGGGCGACUCCGCGACCUGGGCAGUGGAGAUCGGAGCAUCCGAGAAGCUUUGCGAGGCGCGCGGAGGGAGGGGGGCGCCGGUUUCUGGGUCCCCGCCUCUAACUCUGCCUGGUCCCCUCCAGCGUCUUCCACGCCCAAACCCUGGCAGGGUCGGGAGCAGGUGGGAGGGGAGAGCUUUGAAACCCUGGUAGGGCCUGGGGGCCGGAGCUAGUCCACGGCUAUCAGCCGCCCCCGGAGCCCCGCAGUGGGUCAGUAAGACGCGCCGCGGACGCUCUGAGCUGGAGGUGGGAAGAAGAUUGCCUCUUCCUUCGCACCCCAGCGACGUAGGCUGCCACCCUCCUGGAAGACUGGUGUUAUGGUGAUUGGUGAUCCUGGAUGAUCCUUGGUGAUGAGUGAUCGUGAGAACUCUCUGGGCCCCAUGGGAGGGCAGGAGCUUUCCUCCCGAAUUAAAUCUCUCCUUGGCUGCUGGUGUAAUCGCUGCGGACUCGCCAACCCCCUAAACAUCUGCUUUACUCCUGGGCAAAUAGGAGGUGCUGGUGUCUAGUGCAAAGAGCUCAGUUCUACGCUCACAACCAAUGUCUGGCUGUCCAGAUGCCAUCUCAAAACAAACAACAAAACGCUGGCUUUUGAAACAAGAAGGAAACUGCUGAAGUAUCUUUCCAAGCCACUCGGUGCAGCCUCCUUUAGCACACCUGUGCUGAAGAGAGGAGCCACCAUGGGAAAGCAAAAGGCAGAUGCUGAAGGAGGGAGGCCAGGCCAUCGAGGAGGUCUAUCCUGCCUUAGACUGGCUCUCCUAGAUCCAUCUGUCCUGGAGAAGCAGGGCGAGGUGUCCAGUCCAGGGGCCAGUCCCAGGUCAUCAUAAACCCUGCCUCACCAAGGAAGCACACCAGCAAUGCAGAUUCCUGGGUCACACCCUUCCCCACCACCACUUGGAUCCAGACGCUGGGUGGGGCCCAGAAACCAGGCUUCAAGAACAAACCGUGGAGUCUAAAGGCUUGUUACCCAUCUCUACAGCACCAAGGCAUGGAAGGAUGCUCCAGUUCCUCUCCCUGCUCAGAGCUGCCUGUACGCUGGCCUGAGGAACCAAGACUGCCCUGCACUCUCCCAGUUAGUACCGUAACUUGGGCAAGUCCAUUCUCAGAGGAUGGCAGAUACAUCCAAAUGGAAUAGGGUCUCUUUCCAGAUGUCUGCAAAGAUCUGAGCCCCUCAUUCAACCUUAGCCCUGUGGCCACUGCACCUCUGCUUCCUGUCACAGGGACCUCAGAGCCAGUGAGGUAGGCCCUGAGGAGGGAGUCCAGAGAACACACCAUUUCACGGAAGUCCCUACCACGGCUGUUUCUGCCAUGGCUUUUCACCCUCCACACUGGCACUGAAGAAUGCUAUCUUUUAAUACCAGUUGGACUUGACUUAAAACCUGUCUGGCUCCUUAAAACAAAGCCCAUGUCCCAGGCCUGACCUUUGGGGCUGGCUCCUCCCUUUCCAAACUUCAUACUUCAGCCUUAGGAACGCAGCCACACGUACCUGUGCUUUUGCUUGGCACAUUCCAAGUCUCUCGCUUGCUCACUAAGAUUCCACUUUGGGUCACCGGCUCCCAAGUGACACGCCCCCAGCCUGCAAGGAGGGUAACUCCUGCCGCACCUGAGCUGGGCAUUCCAAUCACAACACCUACUGCGGGACAAUGAGAUUCCAUCAUACGCCUGCCUUCUCCCAGAGCCUAGCUCCUCAGCGCCAGCCACAGUGUCCUUGUCACCCUGGUGAUUCCAGUACCCGGAAAGAACUUGGCAUUCCUGCUCCCCACCUGAUGGACUGAAUGGAUUCUUCCCAUACUAAGGAAUUGAUGUGGGGAACAGAGGGAGAAGUUGGGGGUCUUCAGACAUCUGAGGGUCUUAUAGAUGCCUCUGGUCAUGGGUUGUAGCCAAUUACACUCUUCUGAAAUGGACCUAGAAAUCACAUCAGCAGCCUGGCCAUCAUGGUCAACUGAAGCCUCUGAGGAUGUUCUCUGGCUUGUGGGCAUGCUCAGAUCAGACGCUGGGUUGGUACCUCCCAAACAUCUGCAUUUGGCCCUAAGGGAUCCCCUGGCUCUUUUGCUGCGCUCCACCAAACACGUGGGGUCUGAGCUGCUGGGGAAAACCCCCUGUGGGACUUCCCUGUCAGGACACUGGGGAGCAGAAGCUGGCCUGAAUUCACCCCAGAGAGCAUGCUAGAAGUGGCUUGGUGCUGGGGCCAUCAGGGCAGCAUCUACCCCUCGAGGCCACAGAACUUGAGUCCACAGGCUUACGGCUCAGAGGACAUACAUGAAGAACAGAUGUGAUCUAAGCAGUUAGGUUCUGGCUUCUCUCCCUGGGUGGCUCUUCCUAUAGACAUCACAUCUAGGACUCAGCCUUCCCCGCUUCUGGCCCUGCUGGGACAUUAGGGGAAGACCCUCCACAGACGGGGAAACACUCAUGGAGACAGGAUCACCUGGGGCCAAUCACUUCAUGCUUCGGAGCACACAGUGGGGCUUCCUGUGCACCUGCCUCUCCUUGCCCUACUGGCUAAAGGGAAGCUGGACAGGAAAGCCUACUUUUGCACAAACUGAAGUGUUUUACCGGGGCGUCUCUAGUUUCUAGGCUAAAUAAAGGAAAGCCCUACAGUGGCCC